GAUCUUAGCUCCUCGACCAAGGAUUGAACCCAAAGCUCCUCCAUUGGAAGGCAAAGUCUUGACCACUGGACCACCAGGGAAGUCCCAUGCAACUGAUUCUUAAAUCCCUACUUUAAAUCUUUUCUGGAAGAAGGCGAGGGACAGAGUCGACAAUAUAACUCAUCACUAUUCCCAUCAAAGCAGUUUCUGUGGGUUACUAUAUACUUAAUUUGACAAUCCUCAGAACAUAUUAAGGACAACCAAAUUUAUUUUUGUAGACCUUGUGGUGAGUGGCUUUGAAAAUGCUCAAUGAAGGUGGAUUUGACUUUAAGGAUUAGUUACAAGUCAGCUAAACCUGUGUCUGAUAAACAUUGUUGGUGGUCAAGUUCGCUAAUGCUGACUUUAAUCAAUGACAAGGCGUUUGAUUCAACACAGGAAAGUGACUCCGUCCUUCCCUGAAGAAGUUGUGGUCCAGUUUGAUAGAAAGACAUACAAAAGACAAUUCCAAUACAAUCUCAUCAACAACAGUACAAUCUCAUCAACAAUGAAGAAGAGGUACACCUGCCAGUGGUACCCUGAGGUGAGGAGUUGCUCAGCCUCCCUGGUGCCCUCCAGAACACGAAAGACCACCAGGCCUGCGUGCUCGGAAGCAUCUGAAUAUUUAGAGGUUGGCAGAUGCCUCAGGACCAGAUGCUGCCGGAGGCAAAUCAUAUGAUCCAGUGUGGGUAUCGCCAAGCUCCAGCACCGUCUCUUCUGAAAAGACUCUGGUCCCGUCAGUGCCUUUUCCCGGAUGACUCUGUGGACAUGCAUCUCCAGGGAUGCUCCUACCAGGAAAGUUAUGCUUUUUGAAAGUAUGUGCAUAUACCUGGGUACCUCAUGAACCAUGGUGUGGCAGGGGUCCAACAGAGGUAUGGGAUGCUGUCCUUUUGUAAGUAUCAGCUCUAAACACUGACAACUGAAAAGAGUGAUGAAACCCAGGCAUCCUAGUUUCUGUAUCUUGGAGGCCCUGGAUCCUCACAUUCCUGGUGAGUUCUGCUUUGUCUUUAUCCCUAAUGGCUCUCUGGCAGCUGAACAAAUCAUGCUUUGGGUGGCUUCCUACUAUUUUGAGGGUUGAAGAGUCUUAAGUUCCUAACAUAGCAUCAGAUGGGGAUCUUGGUGCUGAGAAUUAAGCUCAUGGAGUCUCUCUUGCACAGAGAUACUACAAAUGAGUGGAGCUGAACUUCCCUCAAGAGGCAUACUGAUGGACUGGCAUCUUGGCAAAAUGGACUCCAGCCCGCCAGGCUCCUCUGUCCAUGGGAUUCUUCAGGCAAGAAAACUGGAGUAG